GAGUUAAGGUUCCUGUGUGAACGGGAGAAGAGUCGUCUCCCAUGUCCUCUCCGUAACGACCACGGACGUAGAGAGCGAGAUAAAGUUCGUGAUAACGAUCGACAGUUUCUUUUCACAAUGGCGCCUGUGAGGGUAGAAGUGGAAUACUGUGGCAAAUGAGGCUAUGAGCCUCGGUACCGGGCGCUGAAGGAUGCCAUCCUGAAGCAAAUUCCGGAUGCCGAGAUUUCUGGAGGGGUUGGUCGCACCAGCUCCUUUGAAAUAAAGGUCAAUGGCAAGCUGGUGUUCUCCAAACUGGAGACACGCGGCUUUCCCAACGAGGCUGAUAUUUUAAGGAGUGUGGAGCAAGCCCAUAAAGGGGAGGAGCCAGAGGUGAUCACAAAUUCUCAGAGCCCAGGCUGCUCCCUCCAAUAAAUGGAGAAGCUGCUCCCAGAAACCUGCCCUUUGAAACCUUAACAUAAUGCCUUUCCUCUAAUAUACAUGCAUACUUUUGUGGCAUGAUGCUUGAAUAGGAUGCUAAAUGGCAUAGUGUUGUGUCUUGAUCAGGAUCUCACUGCUUGCCUUGAAUUUGUUCUUUUAUGUUAGAAAUAUGUGGUAAAUCCAUACAUUAGCAGUGUUUGUCACAGUAUGAUUUAAGAUGUCAAAAAAAAAAAAUAAUGUUAACACUAGUAGGGUGGCUGUCACUCAGAGCUCAGGAAGGAAAUUUUUCUGGUCAUAUACAAUUGGUCAAUACAGUAAGAACAGUAAUACUUUUGAUGUAGACUCUGUGACUAAAUUCAGAAAUUGGAGCUGUACAUGAGGCUGUCUCAGGGACUUGAAAACAAACCAUGCUGGCAUGCUAUUAUUGGAUAGGCAGAUGUUUCAUCCAGUUUGCAAGUCUGUUCUUGCUUGUUUGUACGACUUGCACCUGCUGUUUUGACGAGGUCAGCUGCAAACCAUGGCUUACUUCUGAUGUUAUGUUAAGGAGUAGGGUGCCUGUCAUACAACCCACCAGAAUGUACUUGUUCUCCUGGAACGAGGUUUCAAGGUCUGCAGGAUUAAAUUUGUGCACACUGAAACACUUUUUUUUUAAAGUAACUUUUAUAUGUAUAGUGUGUUUUGUAACUGGAAUUUUGUGCUGAAAAUGUUCUCUACUAUUAAAUCAAACGUGUUAUGGACCAAAGAAAUCAUACAUAUUUGACCGUUCAAGUACAGAUGUCUCUACCCAUGAUACAUCAUUAAAAAUAAUUCCAGUUAUAUUGAACUCAAGUUCACAACAUUUCUCAGAACAUCAUUUAAAAAUCUGUUGGACAGUUCUGAAGAGAGUUCCAGUUAUUGCUUGUUAAGCCAUCACUUGACUGGGGCCAGCUGACUAUUUGACUAUUACGCUGGUCCCUCAGGGAAGAAAAGGUGGGAGGGGAGAACAACUAGACUGCAGCUAACAAGCCUGUCUUGAACAGCAAUCUUACAUGGUAUAGCCAUUCCAUUUAUUUAUGUUAUGAAUUGCAAUUGUCUUCUCAGUGCAAGCAGAGAGAGAUAGAGACCAUGAAGGCAAUGAAUUAUACAGAGAAGUAGAUUUGGCAAUGUCAGAGAAGGGUGGUACAGCAAAAUGAAAGGUGAUAAAUUGUACUAUUAGGGGGAAAAAUAAAGCACACUUAAGUUACAUCACUUUAUAAACUCGCAGACUUCGCAAGAUAUAUUGCACAUUUUUUUCAGGAAUAGCAUGGUCCAUAACAAAGUUGGAAGAAAUCCUUGCUCAACACCCCCAACACUUCAACAAUUUUUAAAGCAUCAUUUUCGUCACAGAAAGAUCAAUUUUUCUGUUUUAUGCACCCUGCACAUAUGGAUGGUAUACCCUUUAGGUGAAUAUUGUGUAUGUUACAAACUGUGGAUCUUUCAACAAAAUAAAUGCUCUCUUCAGUCAUGA